rnacentral:rRNA from 1 species
UACGUAGGGGGCAAGCGUUGUCCGGAUUUAUUGGGCGUAAAGAGCGUGUAGGCGGCCAGACAGGUCCGUUGUGAAAACUCGAGGCUCAACCUCGAGAUGUCGAUGGAAACCGUCUGGCUAGAGUCCGGAAGAGGAGUGUGGAAUUCCUGGUGUAGCGGUGGAAUGCGCAGAUAUCAGGAAGAACACCGACGGCGAAGGCAGCUCGCUGGGACGGUACUGACGCUGAGGCGCGAAAGCGUGGGGAGCGAACAGG